rnacentral:rRNA from 1 species
GAUGAACGCUAGCGGCAGGCUUAAUACAUGCAAGUCGAGGGACAGCACAGGUAGCAAUACUGGGUGGUAACCGGCAAACGGGUGCGGAACACGCACACAACCUUCCUUUAAGUGGGGGAUAGCCCAGAGAAAUUUGGAUUAAUACCCCGUAAUAUAGUUGAAUGGCAUCAUUUGAUUAUUAUAGCUACGGCGCUUAAUGAUGGGUGUGCGGCUGAUUAGAUAGUUGGUGGGGUAACGGCCCACCAAGUCUACGAUCAGUAGCUGAUGUGAGAGCAUGAUCAGCCACACGGGCACUGAGACACGGGCCCGACUCCUACGGGAGGCAGCAGUAAGGAAUAUUGGUCAAUGGACGCAAGUCUGAACCAGCCAUGCCGCGUGAAGGAUUAAGGUCCUCUGGAUUGUAAACUUCUUUUAUUUGGGACGAAAAAGGGCCUUUCUAGGUCAACUGACGGUACCAGAUGAAUAAGCACCGGCUAACUCCGUGCCAGCCGCCGCGGUAACAC